UACGUAGGUGACAAGCGUUGUCCGGAUUUACUGGGCGUAAAGAGCGCGCAGGCGGUCGAUCAAGUCGAGUGUGAAAGCCCCCGGCUCAACUGGGGAGGGUCAUUCGAUACUGAUCGACUCGAAGGCAGGAGAGGGUAGUGGAAUUCCCGGUGUAGUGGUGAAAUGCGUAGAUAUCGGGAGGAACACCAGUGGCGAAGGCGGCUAACUGGUCCAGAUCUGACGCUGAGGUGCGAAAGCCAGGGGAGCGAACGGG
rnacentral:rRNA from 1 species